GGGUGAAAAGAAUAAAGUUUUGUCCAUCUUUGUUCAUCAUAGCUGAAAGUUAGAGAAGAGAAAGGAGAGGAGAAAGCUCUUGAGUAUUCGGUCAUUAGGAGGAGGAAAAUUGAAGGUAAGUUCUUGGUACCUUGCUUCUAUUUUGAGGUUCAUGAGUUCUUCUUGAUUCUACCUUAACUCUUGAAGUAUAUUUUGAUUUUUAGUUGUGUUGUGAGCAUUUAGUCAUGAAUUAAAAUGAAGGAAAUGGUUGUUGUUUCAUGUUCUUUUGAUGAAAAAUGGAAGAUAGGUGAAGUUGAGCCAAACAAAUGAACAUGCAUGUGCCUUAGAUGCUAAAGGGAAAAAUCGGCUAACAUGUUGUGCUUUAAAAUGAUGAAAUGGAGAUUAUACUUAAGUAAAAUCAUAGAUAUGUGAUGAUUGAUUGGUGAUAUAUAUGUUUAAAUAACAUGCAUGCAAGGUAUGUGUGAAAGAGUGAUUUGGUAAUAAAUCUGCUUGGGACAGCAGCAGUAACGUGACUUUGGAAAAUCACCAUAAAUUGUGGGAGAUGAAUUAGAAGCUGAAUAAAUUAUGUAAUUAAAGCUUAUUGAGUCUAGUUUCUAAUGAAAUAAACAAGAACAUAUUUUGAAUUCUGUACAAUGAGAAAUUUGAUUCGUAAUGAAGAGUGGUCAGAUUAGUCAAACAGUGAAACAUGGGAAACUUUGAGAAAAAUCUGGUAUUGAUUGGCUAAACCAAAAAUUCUGAAAAUUUUAUGGAUAGAAGAUAUAUGAGUCUAUUUUCAGGGAAAAUUAACGACACUUGAUUUGGAGUUUCGUAGCUCCAGUUAUAAAUGAUUUAGUGACUGUUGCUCAGGAAGAAAGCUUGCAGUGAAAUUAUGAUUAUGUGGUAAACAUUGACAAAAGUUUGUUAAUGAGUUGCUUAUUGAUUUCUUAUAAGCUUACUAUGAUCUAUAGGUGUGGUUGGCCGAAUAUUGUAAGGGGUUAAUACGUAGUUCGUAUUUGAAUAGUUAGAUUAACGUGUUAGUAAUCCAAUUGUAGACGGUUCGUGUGUGGAUCUCGUCAGCAUAUCGUCGCAAACAGGUGUGUAACUGACACCCUCUCAUAGACUAGAUUGGCAAAAGCCGAAAUGCCGAAAUGCCGAAAAGUCGGUAUUUUGGGAAUUUGCGAGUGUACGAAUGCUCGUAAGAUAGUUGGGUUUGUAUAUUUGGUAAUCUAAAGUAAUAAAAUGAAGUACGCGCGAUUUCGUACAUUUUGAUAAUUUGGGCUUAAUGGGCCAAACAUCGGGUUCAUGGGCCAACGGGCCCAAUUCGGUAAGUAUGCGCGGAAAGUGUUCUGAUAGUACGUAAAUAGUUAGGAUAUGCAUGAAAACCCUAAAAGUAGCUAAAUUACUAUAAUAUCCCUAUGUAUGGAAAAUUACUGUUAUACCCCUAGGUGCAAAAUUACCGUUAUACCCCUAGGGUUAAUUUUGACUGAAAAGCAUGACGAUCUGAUUCUGUAUGAUGUAUGCCAUGAUUAUAUAUCUGUUGCAUGGGGACAUGGGUUAUAUUAUGGAGGAAGCAUUCUGGUGGCUAUGCCACAAAUAUCUGAUCUAGUGGCUCUGCCACAUAUAUCUGUUCUGGUGGCUCUGCCACGAUUAUCUGUAUCUGGUGACUCUGUCACAUUAUCUGUUCUGGCAGCCAUGCUGCAAAUUCUGUGGUGUGUAGCGGUUGGGUGGGUCGAGUUGUCUCCCCACACGGUGUAAGGUUGGUACGGGGGUGUAUACGGUUGGAUAUGGUUGGGUUUCUGCAUAAAUAUGUAAUAUCUGUUCUGUUCUGUUAUGGGCUUAUGGGCUUUAUUCUGAAUUUCUGUUCUGGGCUAAGGCCAACUUAUUCUAUUUCUGUGGUUUAAGCUGAUAUAGGCUAUGGUUGGGUUAAUUUACACACUGAGUUUCCCCAAACUCACCCCUUUUAUUUUCAUCCACGCAGGAAAUCCCCAACCAUAGUGGGCUUGGAGCUGUGAGGGAAUUCGGAGUGGCCACCCGUUCUGAAAGUUUGAUUUUCUUCUGGUGAACUGGACAUCCUUUUAUUUACGUUUGAAGUUUUGGGUUUUUAAAUGUAAUAAGGCCGCUUAAUUAUUUUUGAUGGUUUUAAUAUGUAUUACUAAGAUAGGUAUUACUUAUUUUAACUGUUGAAAUUGGAUAGCUUUAGGGCGAGUUUUCAAAAACAACAAUUGAUUUCAAAAUAACACGACAACAAGCAAAGCUUCCGCAAUGAAAGUAUUUUCCAAAAUUAAUCACUUUUCCUAAAAAUGACUUAAUCGAAUCGGUUUCCUAGAAAUA
rnacentral:lncRNA from 1 species